GACGAACGCUGGCGGCGUGCCUCAAACAUGCAAGUCGAGCGAGGUGAGACCGAACCGCAAGGUGAGGUUGAACCUAGCGGCGAACGGGUGAGUAACACGUGGGUAACCUGCCUGGAAGAUUGGGAUAACGGCUCGAAAGAGUCGCUAAUACCGGAUAAUGUCCUGGUGCUGCAUGGCACCGGGAAGAAAGGGGAAACCCGCUUUCAGAUGGGCCCGCGCCCCAUCAGCUAGUUGGUAAGGUAACGGCUUACCAAGGCGACGACGGGUAGCCGGUCUGAGAGGACGAUCGGCCACACUGGGACUGAGAUACGGCCCAGACUCCUACGGGAGGCAGCAGUUGGGAAUCUUAGGCAAUGGGCGAAAGCCUGACCUAGCGACGCCGCGUGAGGGAAGAAGGCCUUCGGGUCGUAACCUCUGUCAUGGGGACGAAGAAAGUGACGGUACCCCACGGAGGAAGCCCCUGCUAACUACGUG
rnacentral:rRNA from 1 species